rnacentral:rRNA from 1 species
GACGAACGCUGGCGGCGUGCUUAACACAUGCAAGUCGAGCGGUAAGGCCCUUUCGGGGGUACACGAGCGGCGAACGGGUGAGUAACACGUGGGUGACCUGCCUUUAGCUCUGGGAUAAGCCUGGGAAACCGGGUCUAAUACCGGAUAUGACUCCGCGGCGCAUGUUGUGGGGUGGAAAGCCUUGUGCGGCUGGAGAUGGGCCCGCGGCCUAUCAGCUUGUUGGUGGGGUGAUGGCCUACCAAGGCGACGACGGGUAGCCGGCCUGAGAGGGCGACCGGCCACACUGGGACUGAGACACGGCCC